rnacentral:rRNA from 1 species
GACGAACGCUGGCGGCGUGCUUAACACAUGCAAGUCGAACGGUAAGGCCCUGCUUUUGUGGGGUGCUCGAGUGUCGAACGGGUGAGUAACACGUGAGUAUCCUGCCCUUGACUUUGGGAUAACUUCAUGAAACUGGGUCUCAUAUCGGAUAGGAGCUCCGACUUCAUGGUGUGGGUAGGAAAGUUUCGGCGGUUGGGGAUGGACUCGUGGCUUAUCAGCUUGUUGGUGAGGUAGUGGGUUAACAAGGCUUUGAGGGGUCGCCGGACUGCGAGGGUGACCGGGCACAUUGGGACUGGGGUAGGGGCCGGACGGAUACGGGAGGAAGCAGUGGGGAAUAUUGCACAAUGGGCGGAAGCAGUAUGGAGCGUCGCCGCGUGGGAGAGGACGGCUUUCAGGGUGUAAACCGUGUUCGACUGUGAAGAAGAGUGAGUGACGGUAACGGAUAAAGAAGGACCGGCUAACUACGUG